rnacentral:rRNA from 2 species
UUAAUUGAAGAGUUUGAUCAUGGCUCAGAUUGAACGCUGGCGGCAGGCCUAACACAUGCAAGUCGAGCGGCAGCACAGAGGAACUUGUUCCUUGGGUGGCGAGCGGCGGACGGGUGAGUAAUGCCUGGGAAAUUGCCCGGUAGAGGGGGGAUAACCAUUGGAAACGAUGGCUAAUACCGCAUAACCUCGCAAGAGCAAAGCAGGGGACCUUCGGGCCUUGC